AACGCACCUUGCGCCUCUUGGUAUUCCGAGAGGCAUGCCUGUUUGAGUGUCAUGAAAUAUCAAUCCCAUGGGUUUCUUAUCUGUGUGGUAUUGGAACUGGGCGUCUGCCUGACAAGGCUCGCCUCAAAUGACUUAGUGGGAACUUCUUGACCUACGCCUGACGUAAUAAGUUUCGUCUCGGCUGGUCUUGAGGCCCGCUCACAACCCCCCAUAUCUUUUGACAUUGACCUCAAAUCAGGUAGGGCUACCCGCUGAACUUAA
rnacentral:misc_RNA from 1 species